rnacentral:misc_RNA from 1 species
UUAUCACUGGAAUAUUCUUGAGAGUUUUGUGGUUUGUAAUCUUACACAAAAGGCCAAUUCCAGAUAAGGUAGGCAUGACCACCUCUGUUAGGACAAGAUCAAUAUGAUUAUUCAGAUCUUCCAGCAUUUUCCAGGCUUGAAGACCAUUUGGAACAGCAAUAACUUCAAUAGUUAGCUUUGAACCUAUUACAUGUAGGAACACCUCAACAUGAUUGUGCUAAAUGAACCAUGACCAUCUGUAUUCUUCAAAACAUACACACUCCAGAAUGGUUUAGUGAAGAGAGUGGAAACAUCAAUUGCAAUAAUGGUAAAGAUUUUGACAUCCAAUGAAUAGAGUAAGUGGACUUGCUGCAAAAACAUCAAACUGUAAUCAAAAUGAUACCAAACUGGCAAAUUCCAUGUAAUUGGGGAAUAUAUAUUUAAAUGAAUGAAUAAACAUUUUACUCAAUGGAACAUAGAGCAUAUUAAAAAUAUUCAACAAAAAUCAGUUUGUAUUUACAGAUAAGUGUAAGAUUACUACAGUUAGAUCUCUGAAAAUUAUGUGUGUGUGUGUGU